rnacentral:rRNA from 1 species
UAGUGUAGUUAACACCUGCAUUAUUUGACGUUACCUACAGAAGAAGCACCGGCUAACUCCGUGCCAGCAGCCGCGGUAAUACGGAGGGUGCGAGCGUUAAUCGGAAUUACUGGGCGUAAAGCGCAUGCAGGCGGCCUGUUAAGUCAGAUGUGAAAGACCCGGGGCUUAACCUCGGAAUUGCAUUUGAAACUGGCAGGCUAGAGUCUUGUAGAGGGGGGUAGGAAUUUCAGGUGUAGCGGUGAAAUGCGUAGAGAUCUGAAGGAAUACCAGUGGCGAAGGCGGCCCCCUGGACAAAGACUGACGCUCAGAUGCGAAAGCGUGGGGAGCAAACAGGAUUAGAUACCCCUGGUAG